UUCGCGUUGGUGUCGCUCAUGCCGGUUGGACUUGCUCUUCACGGACCAGUUGUGUGGAUAGAGCCUGAUAGUCGCAACGGGGCAGGGACGGGUGUGUUCACAGUCCCAGGGACGGGUAUGCUUACAGUCCCGAUUGGAUUGGGUCAGAUUUAACAUUUCCUACAGCUGGUUAGUGUAGAGCAUGAUAGUGUAGUGAACGAUAGCGGUAGAGUUUACUUCCUGCUUUCCUGACUAUUCUUGCUCCCUCAUGUAGACUUAGUGGGUGGACCGAUGUUGUUUUGGGCGGUACCCACUGAGAACUACUUGUUUUUACAGUAGUUCUCACGCCCAGUUGUUACUCCUGUUUUGCAGAGCCACAGGUUUCAGCUGCUGCGCCUUCCGCGGAUCAGGAUCGAGGCAAGGGCGUCGCGAGCUAGAGCCCUACCCGACUGACAGAGCUAGAGGCACCCUACUGCAGGUAGUUGUUUUACUUCGAGCUUAUGUACAUAGUACUUAACUCGCCAGUGCGAGUAACGCUGUAUUUUGGAUUCUGAACUAUGUAUAUGAAGCUCAGUUGGUUUAGCUUUUGUUUAUUGAGCAGCUCUAUGCUACUGUUUGUAGCAUUGCAUAUCUACAGGGUACCUUUGACACUUCGUAUACAGGGAAAAUUCCUUUGUAUACGGCGGAUUUGUCGGCGUGCCCGGAGGAACGAGACAUCCGGGGCAUGACAGAUUAAGUUGGUAUCAGAGCGUUGCUAUAGGUCGUUGGGACCUAGGAAACCUAAGUUUGGCAAACCUUAGGAAAGCAUGACGCGGGAGGCGUAAUUUAUUGCGAAAGUCAAUGAUUAUUUGUUCUAACUCCUCCUAGAGUGGGGUGAGUGAUCGAAGGAGUUCCUGUUUUGGCCUGAGAAAUUAUGUUGGCUGCAGACGAUAUAAUUUUGGAGGAAAACAGGGACCGCCUUCUAGACUUUCGUUGAUUGGGUCGAGAGUGUUUUGUUGUAUCUGACCCCGAUUUGUCCCUUUCAGCUAUGUAUCGUCGCCGAGGUCGACCGUCGUUGCGAGAGCGUGCCCAGUUGGCACGGGAUCGUGCGGGAUCCCCUGAGAGACCUGAGCAGAUGGAGCAGAGUACUCGACAGGAGCAGGGUGACAGACCGGAGGCGAGUGCACCCCCUGUGGUGGAGCCGAGUGCGCGACCUGAGGCUAGCGCACCCCCGGAUCUGAGUGCACAGUUGGCUGCCCUGACUGAGGUGACGAGGCAGCAGGGGGAGUUAUUGCAGAGGUUGUGUGAGAGGAUAGCUCAGCCACCGAGUUCAGCACCGAGAGUACCAGAGUCGCCAGUGCCACCCCGACUACUCCAGUGACCGCACCAGCUGCAGCAGUUCCUCCGUCGGCAGCAGUUCCAGUAGCUCCAGUUGCGCCUGCUAGGGGGCCAGUACCGUUGACUGAGGCCGAGCAGGAGCGGUGGACGGAGAGGUUAGCUCGUUUUCGGCGAUUUGACCCACCGAUCUUUGAUGGCAGCGGCACUGAGGCCUGGAUUGUUGAGGGAUGGGUCAGUGCGAUGGAGAGGUUAUUUGAGGAUCUGUUCGUUCUAGAGGGGGAGCAGGUACCACUAGGAGUACACUGUUUGUCAGGUGAUGCACGUGAUUGGUGGCGGAGAGCGAGGCGAGACCAGGGACUGGUGGCGGCGCAGCUGAGGUGGGAUGAGUUCUGUGGAAUGCUGUAUGGGAUGUAUUUUCCCAACAGCAUGAAACAGAAAAUUGAGGAGGACUUGAAGAGGAUCCAGCAGGGCGAGCGGACAGUUCAGGAGUAUGUUCGGGAGUUUACUAGACUCCUGAACUGUGUUCCGUUUGUAGCCAGAGAUGAGGCACAUAGGGUCUAUUUGUUCGAGCAGGGUUUGAGACCCGAUCUAUUCAGGUUCGUCAGGGCGCAGAGGUCGAGGACUUUGGAUGCGUCCAUUGAGCAGGCAUUAUGGGAGGAGAGAGGAGAGGUGUCGCUGCGGGAGAGGGCUCAGGGGCCGGGACAGAGUCAGGACAGGAAGCGCCCAGCUCCAGACGACGGAGGUCAGUCGAGUAGCAGGCGUCCGCCGAGGCCUCCACGAUCGCGUUCACAGGGUCGUGGGUUCUCGGGGCGUCAGCGAUCCAGGGACUCUCGUCAGAGGGGACAGCCUGAGAGGACGCCGCAGUGUGUGAUCUGCGGAGGACCACACUGGCCCAGACAGUGUGAGCAGAGGGAGGGCCGGUGCUACGGGUGUGGUCAGCCGGGACACAUGAGGGCAGCUUGUCCCCGAGCAGCAUCGCCAGCACCAUCAUCAGCUUCAGCUCCACCAGCACCUCAGCAGACUUACAGAGCAGCACCGAGUUACCGCCAGGAGGAUAGGUCGUCCAUGCCGCGACAGGGUGAGCGGCGACAGCAGGCUCCGAGUGGCAGAGUCUAUGCAGCUCAGGUGGAGGACUCUACAGCAGCCGACCGAGUAGUGGCAGGUAUCACUUUGAUUUCUGGCAUUAGAGUUCGCACUCUUUUUGAUACUGGUGCAUCGCAUUCCUUUGUUAGCCGAGCAUUUGCAUUGUUGCAUGGUCUAGAGUUAGGGGCAUUGUCACAGGCACGAGAGGUGCAGAUCCCGGACCAUGUUUUACAGGUUGCAGAGUGUUGUUGGUCGUGUCCGGUGCAGUUGGAUUCGUGGGUCAUGCCCGCAGACCUGUUGGUGCUAGGGCAGCUGCAGGACUUCGACGUUGUGCUCGGUAUGGAUUGGCUGGCGCGGUACUAUGCUACUAUUGAUUGUGGAGCGAGGACUGUGACGUUCCGCGAGCCAGGCCAGGAGGAGUUUACUUUUAGAGGCUGCAGGAGCACGCUGUUUGCCACCUGGAUAUCUUCGGCGAGGGCUCGACAGAUGCUGAGUAGCGGGUGUAUCGCUUUCCUAGCGACUGUUGUGGAGGUACCUACGGCGGCGCCGGGACUUGAGGACAUCCCAGUAGUCCGCGAGUUUCCGGAUGUAUUUCCCCCUGAGUUGACUACGUUGCCGCCGGAGAGGGAGAUUGAGUUUGUGAUUGAUGUAGUUCCUGGAACUGCACCAAUCUCAAAGGUACCUUAUCGGAUGGCGCCGGCAGAGCUGAGAGAGCUAAAGGCACAGCUUCAGGAUUUGAUGGAUAGAGGGUUUGUGAGACCCAGUGUGUCGCCUUGGGGAGCGCCGGUGUUAUUUGUAAAGAAGAAGGAUGGUUCGCUCAGGUUAUGUGUGGAUUACCGGGAGCUGAAUAAAGUGACCAUCAAGAAUAAGUAUCCCUUGCCGCGCAUUGAUGAUUUGUUUGAUCAGCUGCAGGGAUCUUAUGUCUUCUCGAAGAUUGAUCUCCAGUCAGGUUACCACCAGCUGAGGGUGAGGGCCGAGGAUGUUCCCAAGACGGCUUUUCGGACUCGGUACGGGCAUUAUGAGUUCACGGUGAUGCCUUUUGGAUUGACGAAUGCCCCUGCCGCAUUCAUGGAUUUGAUGAACAGAGUGUUCAAGCCGUUCUUGGAUAGGUUUGUGGUAGUCUUCAUCGACGAUAUCCUGAUUUACUCCCGGAGUGAUGCUGAGCAUGAGGAGCACUUGAGGAUUGUGCUACAGCUUCUGCGCGAGAAGAAGUUGUAUGCCAAGUUAAAGAAGUGCGAGUUCUGGCUACGGGAGGUUGCUUUCUUGGGCCACGUGAUUUCAGCUGAGGGCGUAGCAGUGGACCCGAAGAAGAUUGAGGCGAUUCGAGAUUGGCCUAGACCGACGACGGUUACUGAGGUACGGAGCUUCCUGGGACUGGCAGGAUAUUACCGUCGGUUUGUGGAAGGCUUUGCGAAGCUUUCCACACCCCUCACACGCUUGACGCGGAAGGGGAUUCGUUUUGUCUGGAGCGACGACUGUCAGAGGAGCUUUGACGAGUUGAGAUUGAGGUUGAUGUCGGCUCCUAUCCUUGCCCUUCCUGUUAUGGGCGAAGGAUUUGUGAUCUACAGUGAUGCAUCGCACAGUGGACUUGGUUGCGUGCUGAUGCAGCAUGGUAGGGUGAUUGCUUAUGCUUCACGGCAGUUAAAGGAUUAUGAGAAGAAUUACCCUACGCAUGACUUGGAGCUUGCCGCGGUGGUUUUUGCUUUGAAGCUCUGGCGGCAUUACUUGUACGGCGAGCACUGCGAGGUUUUCACCGAUCAUCAAAGUCUCAAGUAUCUGUUCACACAGAGGGAGCUGAAUCUGAGGCAGCGCCGGUGGUUGGAGUUACUGAAGGACUAUGACAUUAGUAUUCAGUAUCAUCCCGGCAGGGCGAAUGUGGUGGCAGAUGCGUUGAGCAGGAAGUCAGUGCAGAGCCUGAGUUUGAGGAUUACUGAGCAGAGACCCCUACUCGAGGAGCUACAGCGGCUGGGACUCGAGAUAGUACCCCCUGGGUCUACGGCGAGGCUGACGUCUCUAGUUUUACAGCCCACUCUGUUGGAUAGGAUCCGAGAGAAACAGAGUGGAGAUCCGUACUUGUUGAGGAUUAGAGAGCAGCUAGACAGGGGGCAGGCUGAGGGUUUUGCUUUGGACAGUUCGGGAGUACUACGGUACAGGGACCGACUGUGUGUGCCUGUGGAUCCGGAGAUUCGAGCGGAUAUUCUGAGAGAGGCUCAUUGUUCCCCUUAUACGGUUCACCCUGGGGGAACCAAGAUGUAUAAGGAUCUUAAGGCACGGUUCUGGUGGCCUGGAAUGAAGAGGGACAUUGGCAGAUUUGUGGCUCAGUGUUUGACUUGCCAACAGGUGAAGGCCGAGCAUCAGGUGCCUGCUGGCAAGCUUCAGAGUCUGCCAGUUCCCGAGUGGAAGUGGGAGCACAUCACGAUGGACUUCGUCGUUGGAUUGCCUAGAGCGCAGGGUGGCUACGACGCGAUUUGGGUGAUAGUGGACAGACUGACCAAGUCUGCUCACUUCCUACCGGUUCAGACUACUUGGUCCAGGGAGAGACUCGCGCAACUAUACUUGGAUGAGAUCGUUAGGCUGCACGGCGUGCCUGUGUCGAUCAUAUCAGACAGAGACCCGAGGUUUGUAUCCUAGUUUUGGAGGAGUCUUCAGACCGCCUUGGGCACUCAGCUGCAUUUUAGCACGGCGUUCCACCCACAGACAGAUGGUCAGUCAGAGAGGACCAUAUAGACUCUAGAGGACAUGCUGAGGGCAUGCGUCCUGGAUUUUAGAGGAGGGUGGUAUCGACAUGUGAGACUGGUUGAGUUUGCGUACAACAACAGCUAUCAAACGAGCAUUCAGAUGACUGCGUUUGAGGCGUUGUAUGGACGCAGAUGUCGAUCCCCUCUGUUUUGGAGUGACGUGGGUGAGCGGAGGACACUUGGACCAGAGAUUCUACUUGAGGCUGAGGAAAAGGUGAGAGUCGUUCGACGACACCUUUUGACAGCACAGAGCAGGCAGAGGAGCUAUGCCGAUACCAGGAGACGAGACUUGGAGUUCCAGGUUAGAGAUCAUGUUUUUCUCAAAGUCUCGCCGUCCAGAGGGAUACGCCGAUUUGGAGUACGUGGAAAGCUUAGUCCACGGUUUGUUGGCCCUUUCGAGGUAUUGGAGCGUAUCGGACCGGUUGCUUACAGGAUAGCUCUACCUCCACGACUUGCUGGCAUCCACGAUAUUUUCCACGUCUCAGCAUUGAGGAGAUACGUCUUCGAUCCCUCUCACGUGAUUGACUUCACCCCACUUGAGAUUGGCGAGGAUCUGAGAUACGAGGAGCGACCGUUGCGGAUUCUUGCUCGAGAGACGAAAAAAUUGCGCAACCGGGUCAUCCCGUAUGUGAAAGUGCAGUGGAGCCAUAACGAGGAGCGAGAGGCGACUUGGGAGCCUGAGACGGUGAUGAGGGAAGCCUAUCCCUACUUGUUUGAUGCUUGAGUAGAGGUACGUUCAGUUUCGCGGACGAAACUUUUUGUAGUAGGGGAGGAUGUAAUAUCCUAGGUUGAAAUGGAGUUGGUAAAAAGGGCCUAUAUUUUUUUUUUUUACCAAACCUUAUCAGCUCCACCGCCUAUACUUUUACCCAUCCUUAUCUUGUUCACCACGUUAUAUAGAGGUGGCAUGCAGGAGCUUUGUUGUAGCCUAAUUAAUUAACUCUCUCUCUAGGUUGAAGUGGAAAGCGUGGUGGAGCUUCCAGGUGGAGUCGAAUCGACGCCGACGUCGCGCCGGGAAGCCGUGGAGCCGUUCGAGCGCGCGUUUGUUGCCGUAGCAUCGCGAGGAGGCCGGGCGAGGGUGUGAUUCCGCCGUUCUCGACGUCGCGCAGGAUUGGAUUUAGCGGUCGAGGUGGGUUUACAUCGGUUUAUUUCUAAGUACCGUAAUCGUCGACAUGUAUGAUUUUUCAGUUUCGGUUAUCACGUUGUAGCUUGAUAUUCGUGAUGCUAUCCUGGAUAAAAUCAGUAUUGAGAACAUGACUAGUAAAUCUUAAAUGUACAUGUUGGACUGGGAUUUGACUUAGGAGAAAACACGAUUGGAAUCGUCAUAUGCUUAAACUGUCUGAUUUAGCUCUAGGAGCCGUUAUUAAAUUGUACUGUUGCAGUAUCCUCGAGACGAGUACUCCAGGUGGUUUAGUAUACAUUUACGCUCGUGCUGGUAUGCCGAGUGGAUUUUUACAGUGUUGUUCAGGUUGUUCCGGACUGUGGGGUGCCGUCAGAGUGACGGUGGACCCGUAUUGCCUUUUUGGCGUCAGAUUGUGCUGAGGGCACGUUACUUGUUGGUUAUUAGACCAGUUAGAGUCGAUUUAUUGACUUUGGCUUUUCAGAGCCUGUUUGAGCUCGACAGAGAUACGCUGCAUACUCGGUUGGGUAGCGCCCACGAGUGCCACUCCGGAGUCAGGCUUUGUGCUUUCGCGUUGGUGUCGCUCAUGCCAGUUGGACUUGCUCUCCACGGACCAGUUAGUGUGGAUAGAGCCUGAUAGUCGCAACGGGGCAGGGACGGGUGUAUUCACAGUCCCGGGGACGGGUAUGCUUACAGUCCCGAUUGGAUUGGGUCAGAUUUGACAUUUCCUACAGUUGGUUAGUGUAGAGCAUGAUAGUGUAGUGAUUGAUAGCGGUAGAGUUUACUUCCUGCUUUUCCUACUAUUCUUGCUCCCUUCUGUAGACUUAGUGGGUGGACCGAUGUUGUUUUGGGCGGUACCCACUGAGGACCACUUGUUUUUACAAUAGUUCUCACGCCCAGUUGUUACUCCUGUUUUGCAGAGCCACAGGUUUCAGCUGCUGCGCCUUCCGCGGAUCAGGAUCGAGGCAAGGGCGUCGCGAGCUAGAGCCCUACCCGACUGACAGAGCUAGAGGCACCCUACUGCAGGUAGUUGUUUUACUUCGAGCUUAUGUACAUAGUACUUAACUCGCCAGUGCGAGUAACGCUGUAUUUUGGAUUCUGAACUAUGUAUAUGAAGCUCAGUUGGUUUAGCUUUUGUUUAUUGAGC
rnacentral:lncRNA from 1 species